CGAUCUCCAAUCAUGAACGGGCCCCUGCACCCGCGGCCCCUGGUGUCAUGGCUGGAUGGCCGGAUGGCCGGGACUGCACGGUGGAGAUGCCUAUCCUGAAGGAUGUGGCCACCGUGGCCUUCUGCGACACGCCGUCCAUGCAGGAGAUCCACGAGAAGGUCCUGAAUGAGGCCAUGGGGGCCCUGAUGUACCACACCAUCACACUCACCAGGGAGGACCUGGAGAAGUUCAAAGCCCUGGGCAUCAUCGUCCAGAUUGGCAGUGGUUUUGACAACAUCGACGUUAAGUUGGCCCGGGAUUUAGGCAUCGCCGUCUGCAACGUGCCUGCAGCGUCUGUGGAGGAGACAGCCGACUUGACGCUGUGCCACAUUCUGAACCUGUACCGGCGGGCCACCUGGCUACACCAGGUGUUGCGGGAGGGUACGCGAGUCCAGAGCGUCGAGCAGAUCCGAGAGGUGGCAUCCGGCGCCGCCAGGAUCCGUGGGGAGACCUUGGGCAUCAUCGGACUCGGUCGUGUAGGGCAGGCAGUGGCACUGCGAGCCAAGGCCUUCGGCUUCAACGUGCUCUUCUAUGACCCCUACCUGUCAGACGGCGUGGAGCAGGCACUGGGGCUGCAGCGCGUGAGCACUCUGCAGGACCUGUUGUUCCACAGCGACUGCGUGACACUGCACUGCCGCCUCAACGAGCACAACCACCAACCACCUCAUCAAUGACUUCACCGUCAAGCAGAUGAGACAAGGGGACUUCCUGGUGAACACGCCCGGGGUGGCCUAGUGGACGAGAAGGCGCUGACCCAGGCCUUGAAGGAGGGCCGGAUCCGCGGCGCGGUCCUAAACGUGCAUUAAUCGGAACCCUUCAACUUUAGCGAGGGCCCCCUGAAGAACGCACCCAACCUCAUCUGCAACCCCCACGCUGCAUGGUACAGCGAGCAGGCAUCCCUCCAGAUGCGAGAGGAGGCAGCACGGGAGAUCCGCAGAGCCAUCACAGGCCGGAUCCCAAACAGCCUGAAGAACUGUGUCAACAAGGACCAUCUGACAGCCGCCACCCACUGGGCCAGCAUGGACCCCGGGGUCGUGCACCCCGAGCUCAAUGGGGCCACCUACAGGUACCCUCCCGGCGUGGUGGGUGUGGCCCCCACUGGCAUCCCAGCUGCUGUGGAAGGCAUCGUGCCCAGCACCAUGUCCCUGUCCCACGGUCUACCCCCUGUGGCCCACCCGCUCCACACCCCUUCUCCUGGCCAAACUGUCAAGCCCGAGGCGGAUAGAGACCACGGGAGUGACCAGUUGUAGCCCGGAAGGAGCUCUCCAGCCUCGGUGCCUGGGCAGAGGGCCAGAAGCCCCUCAGACCAGAGUGUGCAGAGAAGGUGCCUACGUGGCAGCCCUGGCGCUGCAGAGACUGUCGGGCAGUGCAGGAGGCGGGUGGGCAGCGCCGGCCCGUGUCGGUUGUCAUCGUCCGUCCUGUGGGCUCUCUGUCCUGUGUCCUUCACGUUCCUCGUUAAGCAGAAGUAGUCAGUAGUUAUUCUCCCAGGAACGUUCUUGUCUGUGUACAGUUUUUAGAACAUUACAAAGGAUCUGUUUGCUUAGCUGGCAACAAAAGGAAAACCUG